AGUGAACGCUGGCGGUAGGCCUAACACAUGCAAGUCGAACGGCAGCACAGUAAGAGCUUGCUCUUACGGGUGGCGAGUGGCGGACGGGUGAGGAAUACAUCGGAAUCUACUUUUUCGUGGGGGAUAACGUAGGGAAACUUACGCUAAUACCGCAUACGACCUACGGGUGAAAGCAGGAGAUCUUCGCACCUUGCGCGAUUGAUUGAGCCGAAGUCGGAUUAGCUAGUUGGCGGGGUAAAGGCCCACCAAGGCAACGAUCCGUAGCUGGUCUGAGAGGAUGAUCAGCCACACUGGAACUGAGACACGGUCCAGACUCCUACGGGAGGCAGCAGUGGGGAAUAUUCGACAAUGGGCGCAAGCCUGAUCCAGCCAUACCGCGUGGGUGAAGAAGGCCUUCGGGUUGUAAAGCCCUUUUGUUGGGAAAGAAAAGCAGCAGGUUAAUACCCCGCUGUUCUGACGGUACCCAAAGAAUAAGCACCGGCUAACUUCGUG
rnacentral:rRNA from 1 species